GGACAGCACCGGCCUCUGGGAGUUCAGAUACAGUGAUGCUUCAGAAACUGUGGACCCUCGGACCCAGUCCCUGUUAAUGUUGAAGGACCAGGAAAUAUGAAUCUAGGUAGCAGCUGAGGCUCUAGCUAAGGACCAUGCAAAGCGUGUUGGAGAAUGUGUUUCCAGCUCACCUAAGUAAAAAAAAAAGACUACCCGACCCGACCGCACAGAUUCGCAGUCGAGUUGAAAUCGAUCUGAAAAAAAGAGUUGGUGCGCGUUAAUUUAAACAAAUCUCCUAAGAUCCAAGGCUACAGGAUCCGAGCUCACCAAAGAUCACUACACGGGGUAUGAGUUCUUGACAGCCUGCUGUAAAUACGCCAGCUAUUUAAUCUCACUUGGAACCUGCAAGUUAGGUAACAUCCAGAUCUCCUUCCCAAAUGAAGGGCCGUGGCACAGGUGUCCUUGGAUGACCUGAAACUCACAUGGACAGGCCUGGCUUUGGACUCCUGGACAGACAGACAUACUGCCUCAGCUUCCAGAGUGUUGGGAUGAUAGGCAUGUGCUACCAUGCAGAGCUCUGCUUUGUAUUUUGAGACAGGGUCUCACUUUGUAACCCAUCUUGAGUUACAGCAAGCCUCCUGCCCUGGCCUCUAGAGUGCUGGGUUUUCAGGUGUAUAUAACCACACUCAGUUUACUUUCUGUAUGUUAGGAUGGUUUGGUAUUUCCCAAAGUUUGAAGGCUUGGGGGAAGUUUAUGCUCUUAGGGUAAGUCAUUGUUUAGAGCCUCAAAAACGUUCUCUACCAGGGGCGUGGCUAUCUUGAACAAACUAACCAGUCCUGAGUCUGUAUUCCUGACAACUUCCUGAUUUAAGUCUCACACUCAAACCAGUUUUUCUCUUCUCCUAACUCACCCAGAGCCAGGUAUCAGGCGACAAGCCACCACUUGUGUAUCCAAACCCUCUGAACUGUUCCAGUUUGCCAUUGUUUGCCUGCCCAAGUUUUCCUCUCCCUUAGGAAUGGCAGCAAAGGCUCCACCUCAGACUUACCUCCACAUUCUGCGUCUUUGUUUUAAGAGCUUGGGCUACUCUGCAACUUUCCACGUAGCCUACUGACCUUGAACUUGUGAUUCUCCUGCGUCAGGCUCCUGAGUGCUGAGAUUGCACGUGCACAUCUGCACACUGAGCCUCCUCCCAUCAACCUGUGUUCUACUGCAUCAGACAGACUUGGUGCUCACCCUUGGCCCUGCCUAGCCAUGGGGCACCCCCUUCUCUGGGUAGGAUCUGUGGCAGUAGAACCAUCUCCCAAGUUUCCUUCUGGUCCCCUCCCAGGGCUAUUACCAUCCCACCUUCAAUCCCAUCCUUAGCAAGUACAGGUGUCUAGGAAAGUGGCAUGAGGACACACAGAUGAUAAGCCAAAAGUCUUAACUCACCUCAAGAAAUAGAUGAAAGAAACUCGGAGACUAUUGGGAAUUCUCCUCUUUGAGUUAUGAUCCUCUUAGUGGAGGGUGGGGGCGGGGGGCUGGCAACAGACUUGACCACAGGAGUCAGAGGUUCUAGGACCUGGUGACUUAGUUACUAUCUGUCACACCAAUAGGCCUUCUAGAAAAAAAGAUAAGGGGUUGUUAUUUAAAAAGGAUACAAGGGGCCAGAAGGAUGGCUCAGUGGGUAAACUGUGAUGACUCAAGUUCUGUCCCCAGGACCCAUACGUUAGAACAAGUUGACUCCUCCAUGUGUCCUCUGAUCUCCAUGUGCACUGAGGCUUGCACGCCCUCUGCCAGCACACAGAAAAAAAAGGAAUGUGAUAAAACAUUCAUAGAAAAGGCAUUAGGACCGAGGAACAAAAAGCAACUGCAGAGUGCUACCAGUCUAGUGUGCAGAAAACGAUGCCUUCCUUCUGCCAGAACACAUAAAGGCAGCCCAGGCUCAGUCCUGCACUCCUGAGGGUGGGGUAGCUGGACCAGGAGUUUUCUUCUCUGGGGACAUAGUCCUUUGUUUGUUUGUUUGGGUUUUUUUUUUGUUUUGUUUUGUUUUUUCAAGACAGGGUUUCUCUGUNNNNNNNNNNNNNNNNNNNNNNUCACUCCGUAGACCAGGCUGGCCUCGAACUCAGAAAUCCGCCUGCCUCUGCCUCCCGAGUGCUGGGAUUAAAGGUGUGCGCCACCACACCUGGCUUAUAGUGAGUCCUUUGUUAUAUCCUACAUGGUUACAUGGGACCACGAAAUGCAAUCUCUCUUUCUGAAUCUGAAUGUCUGCUCAUUCUCAUUCUUUUUAAUCUCUCUCUCUCUCUCUCUCUCUCUCUCUCUCUGUCUCUCUCUCUCUCUCUCUCGUGUGUGUGUGUGUGUGUGUGUGUGUGUGUGUGUGUGUAUGUGUGUCUGUCUGUCCAAUACCUGACAUGGUGGAUAGAUGGUAGGCCACAGGGCCUCACUGAGCAUCAGAUCUUAGUUUUGACCUUUCUUGAGGUAGGGUCUCUUGUUGUCCUUUGCAUAUGCCAGGCUAGCUGAUCCAUGAACUCCAGAUACCUCCUCUCUCUGCAGCAGCCUCCUCUCUCUGCAACAGCCUCCUCUCUCUCAGCAGCCUCCUCUCUCUGCAG
ensembl:lincRNA D130017N08Rik RIKEN cDNA D130017N08 gene